CCUACGGGCGGCAGCAGUGGGGAAUAUUGCACAAUGGGGGAAACCCUGAUGCAGCAACGCCGCGUGGGUGAAGGAGCGUUUCGGCGCGUAAAGCCCUGUCAGCGGGGAAGAAGAAAGACGGGACCCGACCAAGAAGCCCCGGCUAACUACGUGCCAGCAGCCGCGGUAAAACGGAGGGGGCGAGCGUUCUCCGGAUUUACUGGGGGUAAAGGGGGCGCAGACGGCAAUGCAAGCCAGGAGGGAAAGCCCGGGGCCCAACCCCGGGACUCCUCUUGGAACUGCAUGGCUGGAGUACAGGAGGGGCAGUCGGAAUUCCUAGUGUAGCGGUGAAUUGCGUAGAUAUUAGGAGGAACACCGGUGGCGAAGGCGGCCUGCUGGACUGUGCCUGACGCUGCGGCACGAAAGCGUGGGGAUCGAACAGGAUUAGAUACCCCUGUAGUC
rnacentral:rRNA from 1 species